rnacentral:tRNA from 1 species
GCCGGCCUAGCGCAAUUGGUAGAGCAACUGACUUGUAAUCAGUAGGUUGGGGGUUCAAGUCCUCUGGCCGGCACCA